rnacentral:rRNA from 1 species
UACGUAGGGGGCAAGCGUUGUCCGGAUUUAUUGGGCGUAAAGAGCGUGUAGGCGGCCAUACAGGUCAGCUGUGAAAACUCGAGGCUCAACCUCGAGACGUCGGUUGAAACCGUUUGGCUAGAGUCCGGAAGAGGAGAGUGGAAUUCCCGGUGUAGCGGUGAAAUGCGCAGAUAUCGGGAAGAACACCCGUGGCGAAGGCGGCUCUCUGGGACGGUACUGACGCUGAGGAGCGAAAGCCAGGGGAGCAAACGGG